GGUGUUAUGGCUCAAGUGGUACAGCGCUAGCCUUGAACGAAAAAGCUAAGGGACAGCACCCAGGACUUGAGUUCAAGCCCCAAUACCACCA
rnacentral:tRNA from 1 species